rnacentral:rRNA from 1 species
GUAACCUGCCUCAUACAGGGGGAUAACAGUUAGAAAUGACUGCUAAUACCGCAUAAGCGCACAGGACCGCAUGGUCCGGUGUGAAAAACUCCGGUGGUAUGAGAUGGACCCGCGUCUGAUUAGCUGGUUGGCGGGGUAACGGCCCACCAAGGCGACGAUCAGUAGCCGACCUGAGAGGGUGGCCGGCCACAUUGGGACUGAGACACGGCCCAAACUCCUACGGGAGGCAGCAGUGGGGAAUAUUGCACAAUGGGGGAAACCCUGAUGCAGCAACGCCGCGUGAGUGAAGAAGUAUUUCGGUAUGUAAAGCUCUAUCAGCAGGGAAGAAAAAAGACGGUACCUGACUAAGAAGCCCCGGCUAACUACGUGCCAGCAGCCGCGGUAAUACGUAGGGGGCAAGCGUUAUCCGGAUUUACUGGGUGUAAAGGGAGCGUAGACGGCAUAGCAAGUCUGAAGUGAAAGCCCGUGGCUCAACCGCGGAACUGCUUUGGAAACUGUUAAGCUGGAGUACUGGAGAGGCAAGCGGAAUUCCUAGUGUAGCGGUGAAAUGCGUAGAUAUUAGGAGGAACACCAGUGGCGAAGGCGGCUUGCUGGACAGAGACUGACGUUGAGGCUCGAAAGCGUGGGGAGCAAACAGGAUUAGAUACCCUGGUAGUCCACGCGGUAAACGAUGAAUGCUAGGUGUUGGCGGGCAAAGCCCGUCGGUGCCGCCGCAAACGCAUUAAGCAUUCCACCU